GAGAUCGGCUUCGGCAAACUGGAGACGUACGUCAAACUGGACAAACUGGGGGAGGGCACGUACGCCACGGUGUACAAGGGCCGCUCCAAGCUGACAGAGAACCUGGUGGCUCUGAAAGAAAUUCGCUUGGAACAUGAAGAGGGAGCGCCUUGCACGGCCAUCCGCGAGGUGUCGCUGUUGAAGGACCUGAAACACGCCAACGUGGUGACGUUGCACGACAUCAUUCACACUCAGAGCUGCCUCACACUCGUCUUCGAGUACCUCGUGAGCACCAAAAGACCCCAAAAUAACCCAAAUUCACCCCAAAAAUCCCAUCAGGAA